UGCUAGCUGAGCACUAGUUCCUGGAGUGA
rnacentral:piRNA from 1 species